ACCGAAUCCUUAAAAUUUCGACAAAUAUGUAAAAAAAAAACAUUUUUAUUUAUGUUUAAAAUACUUUAUAUUUAAAUUUUUUUAAUCACCUGUCCAAGAAAUAAUUGCAUAGCAGGGCCCGCGCUAAGCAUUCGCCAUCCCUUCUAAUGAUUUAAAAUUGUAAAUUUAGAAAAUAAAAUUGUAUUUGGCGAAAAUAUUGGCAAAAGAUUUUUUUUCACAGGAAAGAAAAAUAUACAUUUAACUCGAUCCUCAAAAUUACGCCAAAAUUAAUUUUUCUAAACAAAGCAGUAUUUUCUAUUCAUUUCUAUUUUCAGUAAUUUUCGGUUGCUGCGACGCAUAACCAAUUUCAAUUGAGUGCAAAUAAUAUAAGCCUAAAACAAACUGCCGUCAAAUAGUUUUCUAUGGAAAAAAAUAAUCCUAGAAAAUUGUUAAGAAUUGCAUUUGACGAAGACUUUCGAUAUUUGGCUAGUUUACUGGCUAAUACUUACUAGCUACAUAUACUGACUAUAUUAAUAGCUAAUUUACUGUCUAUAUUAAAGAUUCUUUAUUCAUAAAAAAACACUUUAAAUAUUUGUGAAAUACUUGGAGAAUUUCGAUACUUGAACCCUUAUACUUUUAGAAAUAGAAUUUUAUUAAACAUAUUUAAAAACAAAAAGAAAAAUUAUGACCAAUUUGUUGUACAGAAUUGUUUAUGAGUACAGUUCACUACAUAAUUGUUUAAGAGUAAAAUUGGAAUAAAAUAAAGUACUUCAGGAGUUCAAAUUCGUGUAUUUUUUCUAAUUCAAAACACUUAUUAUAUUUUUUUCGAAUUUAAAAGAUAAAAUAUAAUAUCGCAUUUUAGAAAUAAUGAAACAAUUCUUUUUCUUCACUUUUUUUACAGAUACGAGUUCAUGUUGGUCAAAUGCUACAUGAAGUUGUUCACGGGCUUAAAAAUGUUCUUGCAAUGGUUAUUUAGAGAGGUGGAAUUCAUUUUUUAAAUAAUGCAAGAAUCGAAAUCUUAACUUACAAUGAUAAAUGAGUUUUUAGUUCAUAUUUUUGUAAGUUGUACUAUAAAAACCAUUGAAACAAAUUGUACUCCAAGUGCAGCUUGCUUCAAAAUAAAAUUUAUUAAAAAACCCUU